ACGGAAGGCAGCAGUGGGGAAUAUUGGGCAAUGGGGGAAACCCUGACCCAGCAACGCCGCGUGAAGGAAGAAGGCCUUCGGGUUGUAAACUUCUUUUACCAGGGACGAAGAACGUGACGGUACCUGGAGAAAAAGCUACGGCUAACUACGUGCCAGCAGCCGCGGUAAUACGUAGGUAGCAAGCGUUGUCCGGAUUUACUGGGUGUAAAGGGCGUGUAGGCGGAGGAGCAAGUCAGAUGUGAAAUCCAUGGGCUUAACCCAUGAACUGCAUUUGAAACUGUUCCCCUUGAGUAUCGGAGAGGCAAGCGGAAUUCCUAGUGUAGCGGUGAAAUGCGUAGAUAUUAGGAGGAACAUCAGUGGCGAAGGCGGCUUGCUGGACGACAACUGACGCUGAGGCGCGAAAGCGUGGGUAGCAAACAGGAUUAGAUACCCUGGUA
rnacentral:rRNA from 1 species